UACGUAGGGUGCAAGCGUUGUCCGGAAUUAUUGGGCGUAAAGAGCUCGUAGGCGGCUUGUCGCGUCGGCUGUGAAAACCUGGGGCUCAACCCCGGGCCUGCAGCCGAUACGGGCAAGCUAGAAUUCGGUAGGGGAGACUGGAAUUCCUGGUGUAGCGGUGAAAUGCGCAGAUAUCAGGAGGAACACCGGUGGCGAAGGCGGGUCUCUGGGCCGAAAUUGACGCUGAGGAGCGAAAGCGUGGGGAGCAAACAGGAUUAGAUACCCUGGUAGUCCACGCCGUAAACGUUGGGCGCUAGGUGUGGGCCACAUUCCACGUGGUCUGUGCCGCAGCUAACGCAUUAAGCGCCCCGCCUGGGGAGUACGGCCGCAAGGCUAAA
rnacentral:rRNA from 1 species